CCUAAUCGCAAAUUCUUUUUAUGGCGUUGUAAAUAGCUCGCAGUAGUUAAUAUUUUAGUUUCACGAUCGGGAAAUUUUCUUUUACAAGUACAUCCUCAGUGCGCGGUAAUGUGGUUCUCGAGAUUCUUUGAGAUCGCUUCAAGUGUGUCUCUGUUGCAUUCUGUGUUUCUCUGAGAAGUGUUGUCACAUAAUUUGCCGGCCAUAAGUUACAACCGGCACUUCACUGUGUAUCUGAGGUCAAACGACGGGUCUGGCCAUUCUCUACUAAUUACGGCACCCGUCACACAGGAUUAGUUUGAACGAACGCGACAUGGCCCACUCUGUAACGACAACGGUAUAUUUCAGCUAAAAGCAAAGGAAUUUCAAUUUCAUGAAUGUGGCUGGCUCGUAUGUGGAUUCGUAAACGAAACACCUGUGCUCGUACCAUAUUCCGAGUUUAUACCAUGGCAAUGUUGACGUAGGAAUAGUAGACGACAGUUUCGUUGUCGUUGAAAGUGUUAGCUGUAUUUUUCUUAUAUCAUGGAAGGGACGCUUGUUUUGAUUCUUUUAGUAUUGGUGAUGUUAGUGGGAAGUUAUUUGGCUGGGGCUAUACCGUUGGUUAUGCCCAUGUCAGAGGAAAAGCUGCAGUUAAUUUCUGUUCUUGGAGCUGGUUUACUAGUGGGAACUGCUUUAGCUGUUAUCAUUCCGGAAGGGGUUCGAUCAUUGAAUACCGCAGUCACUGUUCAGACAAUUCCUUCCACAAAGAAAGAUGGUGUCAUAAUUGAACAUCAUGAGGAUACGUCUUCCACAGACGUUCACUCACUUAUAGGAAUAUCCUUGGUUCUUGGAUUUGUAUUUAUGUUAUUGGUUGACCAGUGCUCUGUUUCCAGAAGUAGAGAUGCCGAAGGCAGCCCAAAGUCGGCAGAAAGGAACAUAACAGCUACAGUUGGCCUUGUGGUCCAUGCUGCAGCUGAUGGAGUUGCGCUCGGAGCGGCAGCAACUACAGAUCAAGCUGGAGUUGAGAUGAUUGUGUUCAUUGCCAUCAUGCUCCACAAGGCUCCAGCAGCCUUUGGAUUAGUCACAUUCUUACUUCAUGAGGGCUUGGAUCGAAACCGUAUUAGGAGACACCUGUUAGUGUUUUCACUAUCAGCUCCACUCCUUGCACUUCUUACUUUUUUUGGCAUAGGACAGGAAGGCAAAGAAACACUUUCAUCUGUAAAUGCAACUGGAAUUGCAAUGUUAUUUAGUGCAGGUACCUUCUUAUAUGUAGCAACGGUACAUGUGCUACCAGAGCUAACAUCCAAGAAUGGUCACUCACAUGGAAGUUCCAUCCUUGAAACAUCUGAGAGAAAAGGACUACGCAUAAUUGAGCUCACAUUCCUAAUUAUUGGUGCACUGUUGCCACUGUUUCUGACAUUGGGGCAUCAGCACUAACAGUUUGCAGACAUAUUUUGAACAGAGGUGCAAAUUAUGAAAGGAGGCAUAGAGGAGGGCCAGUAAACUGGAUGCUGAUCUCAAGAGUAUUUUAUUAAUACCAGUAAUGUGAAAGUGCAGUUAAAACAUACUGAUAUCAGGAGCCAGUAAUUAGUCCUUUCCCUCAUGCUUCCUCACAAGGCGGACAUCACUUGCAAACUGUGAAAAUUGUGUCAGAAUGAGUGACAAAUGAAAUUAUGUAUUAGCAUUUAUAUAAUAUUAAUUUGUGUUACAAAUGGGACCUGUUUCGUGUGAAGAUUGUGGUAUACAAUCUUAUCAUUCAGGAAAUACUACUUUAAAUGUGGCAGAAAAUAAGGAUUGAAUGUGUAUUAAAGUACUCAAAACAACCCAGAUUUUAUUAAUGGGUACCUAACAUCACAAACUUCUUAUGUACGGUUUUAGAAAAGCAUAAAAUUAAAAAUGUUUCUGACUCACAUUCCUGGGUCUGACACUGAAUGUGCAGGGUGGUCCUCUAACGCACCAUCCGGGGUGUGACAUAAACAUAUGAUUUAAGAUAUUCUGUACCUGUUCGAUACAAACACUGUGCAAUUAUGAAUUGUAUGCGUAAUAAAUGUCAAACCAUUUUUAUUUGAUUGGCUGUAGUAAUGUAGUGAGAAAGAAAUUAAUCUGUUACAUGGACAAUUGGUAUGUACAAUAUCAUAAUUUAAGCAUGUUUGGGAAAUGCACUUACAAAUAAGAUAACAGCUGGUUACUGUACAACAUUCACAUUUUGUGGCUUGUGUGUGUUUUUACAUAUGUGGGGCUAGGGUAAAUGCAUGUAACAGACACUUAAUUUGAUGUGUUCCUAAGUAGUGGUUGUAUACUUUAUAUUAGGUCUGUUCAUGUAUGGGUUAUGUUUGUUGUAUGAAAACAUCACCACGUGUUUUGACCUUUAGGUCAUCAUCAGAUGGAUUAUUCAUACAGAAAAGCCACUACUGAAUUAGUAUAUGUGUGUAAAUGACUUUAGACCAUACUGAAAUUGAUCUAUUUCAGGUAGGUCUUACAGGUUGUGUUAUUUUAUUAUGAUAAAUAAAAAUGCACAUAUAAAUAUGUGGAGUCUGUUAAUAUUUUACAUAAAAUUAACAUAUUGAAGUACUAAGAAGUAGGUCAAAAUUUCAUUACACAUAGCUUGUUAUACAGUGUCCUAAAAACAUGUCUACACACAUUCCAUAAAUGAAAUAAAGACAUUUUAAUAAACUAAACCAUUACAUAUGUUAGCAUUGGCACUUAGUAAAUAGCUCUAGUGUGGGUGUUUAAAAUGACCAUUAACUUAGUAAAUAGGUUGACAACAGUGAACAACUGACUGACAAGCAGCCACUAAAGCUGCAGCUGGGAUGGCUGCACAAGACCAUUCAGCCAGCAGUCUUGAAGUGUUGCUGGCUUUGUGCUAUACACUGAGUCUUUCAAGUAACUCCACAAGAAAAUGUCAGGUGGGGUUAAAUCUGGCGAUCAUGAGAGGUACUCAGGAGAUCCUCUGUGUCCUAUCCAUUAGUCUGAAUGAUGGGAAAAGAUAUUGCAGGGCCAUCUGUUAAGUGUAGACCAUACUAGGUUCCCCUCGGAAACACAGAAUGAUAACGAGGAUAAUCUUCUUUUGUAGCUUCAUGGUCCUUUUAGUUUAAUCUUGGCCUCCCUCUUGAUAGCCAUCCGCUCAUUCCUAUCGUGUGAUUUUAUUGUCCAUCUUUUUAUACCAAGGGCUUUUAUGUUCCAAAUUCAAAUCAAGGUCUUAUUUCAUUUCUAUGGUCAUUUCCUUUGAGCAGUCUGGCUUAAUUCCUCAGGUUUCUGAACAGUAGUUUUUUUAUGAGGUGGGGUUGUUAACCCUGCACUCAACCCCCAACCUGGAGGACCAGGCCUCCAUAUUUAUAUACCACCAGGCACUGGGUACCCAUUUUAGUUGCCUCUUACAGCAGGCUAUGGUGGGACUAUUCUAAUUCUCUGGUCACCACAGGGAGAUAACAAGGAUAAUAUUUCAUACAUUGUUUUGGGAUGUUCUGUAUAUGUGUGUUUAGGUAUUAUAGUGUACCGCCUUCCUUGACCAUUCUUCAAAAUUUUUCUGACAGGUUUUUGAACCUUUUCUGUUAUUUGAUAGGAUUAUGACUCAGACCGGGAAUCGGCCCAUUUCAAGGCAUCUGUCUACACAAGACAACAAAACACAGAAAGACACAUACACAUAUCUACAGCUACAUUGGUAUUUGAACUCACCAUCCCACUGUUUGAGUAACUUGGUCACUGUGAUUAGCCAUUAUAUAGUCCAUAUAUGUUGUGGCUUUUCUAUGUCCGCCUGAUGACCUAAGGGUUGAAACGUGCAGUUUUUAGAUAAUACAUUCACAUAUCAGGUUUGUUGAUGGUCUUUCAUCUCGUUAAAAUGAAAAAUACAUCAACAUGCACAAAAUAAAGGAUUAUGUUUGGUUGGUCAUCCACUAGAGUAGGGUGAAGUGAUUGGGUCAUGUUCUCUUGGUAUUGAAUCUAGGGCUGUAUUUUAAUGUGUGUUCAUCAUUACAUUUCAGACUCAAAGAUUGGAACCAGUCUUGCAGUAGAAGACAGUAAAAGAGAAAAAUGCAGCAAUGGUAGGUGAUGAAUGAAACCACAAUGUCCCAAACCUGCUUUAGAUGAUGAAUUAUUAAGUUAUAUAUUGUUAACAUCAACUCUUCGAAGUUAAUAGUUUUUACUCCAUUCAAGAACUGAACCUACAGCCUCUCACUGGCUAGAAUAGGUGCUUUAUCAUUGAUUCUGAUGAGUAGGUUUUUUCCCUUCAUCAGUUCUUGCAUGUGAGCAGAAAUGGAUCUGUACAAAUAAACACUGAGAAAGGAGUCAGUCAGAUGUGAGGUUCUCAUGGCAGUGGGAAUGUUUGUGAUAUUUCAGGUCUUCUCAGAUGUGACCACUAUGUCUUGUAAGUUGUGACCAGAAUUUUGGGGGAAUUAUAAGACCAUGCAGCAUAAAGCAGAAGACUGAUCGACAGAAGUAAGCAAACUUAUACCUAUAUAACCAUAUCAGAAAUGUAAAUUAAUGAUUUGAACAGAAUGUUUGGAGCCUUACAAUAAAAGACAUAAAUGUCAGCCUUUGUACAACUAUGUUGCUUCUUUUUCAUGUAAGGAUUCAUGCAUUUUGACUGAAACGCAUCAGAACCUAGGAAACAAAAUUCUUUUAAGUUUCCCAGUCUGGAGUCUACCCCGAGGUGAUAAAUGGGCAAGGAUGUAUGUGUUGCUAUAUUUUAUGAGUUGAAACAUAACUAUGGGCAGAUAUCAGGUAUCAGAUGUACUUUUUAGAAUUGGGUAGUAACUGCAUAUAUAUUAAUUAGUUUAUCAGUUUCAUUUCAUGGGAAACAAACCCUAUCAUUCAAGAUGUUGAUAAUAUGUAGCUGUAAAAAUGCCCAUUGUAAUGUAUUUAUUGAAAUGUGUGGUUGUGUGGUAUGAUGCGAUAAAUUGUCAACUGUUUUAUAUGUAAAUACAUGGGAACACUUUAAAUUUUGGCUGUUAUUUUUGUGGCAUUAUGUAUAAUUUUAUAACACUAAAAUAAAGAGGUUAAUGGAUGUGUA